UACGUAGGGUGCAAGCGUUAAUCGGAAUUACUGGGCGUAAAGCGUGCGCAGGCGGUUUUGUAAGACUGUCGUGAAAUCCCCGGGCUUAACCUGGGAAUGGCGAUGGAUACUGGCGAGCUAGAGUACGGUAGAGGAGAGUGGAAUUCCCGGUGUAGCAGUGAAAUGCGUAGAGAUCGGGAGGAACAUCAGUUGCGAAGGCGGCUCUCUGGACCAGUACUGACGCUGAGGCACGAAAGCGUGGGGAGCAAACAGG
rnacentral:rRNA from 1 species